UCGGAUGAAGGGUGCCCGGGACCCGGUCUUCUCCCUCACGGGAACACUUUUUUUCUAAGGUGACCUCGAUCAGUAGAAUCCCAUUCCA
rnacentral:rRNA from 1 species